UCGCUUACAGAAAAAACGACUGCAGCAGCAUGAUUUUGUUUGAAAUGAAGUCAUAUCAGUUUGUUCUUCGAUUUCGUUUGAAGUAUAUCGGGGCCUUCACUCGCUCGCUCACUCACUCACACACAGACACACACAGAGCCGUAGCUCAUGAAUUAUUCAUGAUCUUGCCCGGCAGGAGGCGGAGCGUCAGAAGGAGGAGGCGGAGCAUCAGCAGGAGGAUGAGGAGGGCUGGGUGAAGGUGACGAAGGGCAGCCGCGGUGUGAAGGUCCGCCCACACAGCGAGACGGCCAAUGAGAGGACACUUCAGAAGGAGAAGAAGAAGAAAGAGCGCAAGGAGCUGCUGAACUUCUACACGUGGCAGCACAGAAACACGCAGAAAGAAUAUAUCGCUGAGCUGAGGAAGAAGUUUGAAGAGGA